GGAGAGGUCGCAUAGUUUGGCCUAGUGCGCGCGCUUGGAAAGCGCGUAUACCGCAAGGUAUCGUGGGUUCGAAUCCCACCCUCUCCGCCA
rnacentral:tRNA from 1 species